rnacentral:rRNA from 1 species
UACGUAGGGGGCGAGCGUUGUCCGGAGUUACUGGGCGUAAAGCGCUUGUAGGCGGUCCACCAAGUUUGGGGUGACAGUUGCCGACUUAAUCGGCAAAGUGCCUCAAAGACUGGCGGACUUGAGGGCCACAGAGGGACAUGGAACUCCAGGUGUAGUGGUGAAAUGCGUAGAGAUCGGGAAGAACACCAGUGGCGAAGGCGGCCGGCUGGGGGUGUCCUGACGCUGAGGCGCGAGAGCGUGGGGAGCAAACCGG